rnacentral:rRNA from 1 species
UACGGGGGGGGCAAGCGUUGUUCGGAAUUACUGGGCGUAAAGGGCCCGUAGGUGGCCAACUAAGUCAGACGUGAAAUCCCUCGGCUUAACCGGGGAACUGCGUCUGAUACUGGAUGGCUUGAGUUCGGGAGAGGGAUGCGGAAUUCCAGGUGUAGCGGUGAAAUGCGUAGAUAUCUGGAGGAACACCGGUGGCGAAGGCGGCAUCCUGGACCGACACUGACACUGAGGAGCGAAAGCCAGGGGAGCAAACGGG